CAGUAGCCGCGGGAAUACGGAGGGAGCUAGCGUUGUUCGGAAUUACUGGGCGUAAAGCGCGCGUAGGCGGUUACUCAAGUCAGAGGUGAAAGCCCGGGGCUCAACUCCGGAACUGCCUUUGAAACUAGGUGACUAGAAUCUUGGAGAGGUCAGUGGAAUUCCGAGUGUAGAGGUGAAAUUCGUAGAUAUUCGGAAGAACACCAGUGGCGAAGGCGACUGACUGGACAAGUAUUGACGCUGAGGUGCGAAAGCGUGGGGAGCAAACAGGAUUAGAUACCCGGGUAGUCCCUGUCUCUUAUAC
rnacentral:rRNA from 1 species